UGGGGAAUAUUGCACAAUGGGGGAAACCCUGAUGCAGCGACGCCGCGUGGAGGAAGAAGGUCUUCGGAUUGUAAACUCCUGUUGUUGGGGAAGAUAAUGACGGUACCCAACAAGGAAGUGACGGCUAACUACGUGCCAGCAGCCGCGGUAAAACGUAGGUCACAAGCGUUGUCCGGAAUUACUGGGUGUAAAGGGAGCGCAGGCGGGAAGACAAGUUGGAAGUGAAAUCUAUGGGCUCAACCCAUAAACUGCUUUCAAAACUGUUUUUCUUGAGUAGUGCAGAGGUAGGCGGAAUUCCCGGUGUAGCGGUGGAAUGCGUAGAUAUCGGGAGGAACACCAGUGGCGAAGGCGGCCUACUGGGCACCAACUGACGCUGAGGCUCGAAAGUGUGGGUAGCAAAC
rnacentral:rRNA from 1 species